CCGGUGGAAUUCGACGAACUCGUCGAGGUCUUGAGCAGUCACGAAAUCCGACUGCGGAUGAGGUCGCCGGUGGUCAUCGCGGCAAAUCACACCGAAUCCACUUCGCCGAUCUUCGAUUCCAAUCACACCAGGACGACGCCUCCAAACUACCGCGACCUUCGAGCAUCCGGGACCAGAGAUUUCAAAGCUCCGGCACGCGGUAGGGGACGCCGGGGACGAGGGGGAGAACGACGGGACCCGUGCCCGGUAUGUGGAGUAUAUGGGCACAGCCCAUAUAAAUGUAAUUACCGGGUCCAGCCCAAUAACAAUAAUUAUGGGGAAGCUUCCCGUGGGCCUCAAAUGCAUAUGACUGCAGCCCAAGAGCCCC
rnacentral:lncRNA from 1 species